rnacentral:misc_RNA from 1 species
AACGAGGCCGACCUGCGGCUGAGUUACCUGCGGAAGGAUCAUUACCGAGUUUACAACUCCCAAACCCCUGUGAACAUACCUAUACGUUGCCUCGGCGGAUCAGCCCGCGCCCCGUAAAACGGGACGGCCCGCCCGAGGACCCCUAAACUCUGUUUUUAGUGGAACUUCUGAGUAAAACAAACAAAUAAAUCAAAACUUUCAACAACGGAUCU